GGGGAGAUACCAAAGUGGCCAACUGGGGCUGACUGUAACUCAGCUGACUUAGUCUUCGUAGGUUCGAAUCCUGCUCUCCCCA
rnacentral:tRNA from 1 species